rnacentral:rRNA from 1 species
GACGAACGCUGGCGGCGUGCUUAACACAUGCAAGUGGAGCGACGAACCAGGCUUCGGCCUGGGGCAGAGCCGCGAACGGGCGAGUAACACGUGGGUAACCUGCCCUGAUGAUCGGGACAACCCGGGGAACCCGGGCUAAUACCGAAUGUGCUGCCCUCGCAUCAGUGAGGGUAGGAAAGGAAGCUUCGGCCUCCGCAUCAGGAUGGGCCCGCGGCCCAUUAGCUUGUUGGGAGGUAACGGCUCACCAAGGCUUCGAUGGGUAGCUGGUCUGAGGAGGACGAUCAGCCACACUGGGACUGAGACACGGCCCAGACUCCUACGGGAGGCAGCAGUGGGGAAUCUUGCGCAAUGCGCGAAAGCGUGACGCAGCAACGCCGCGUGGGGGAAGAAGGCC